rnacentral:lncRNA from 1 species
GCACGACAGUCUUUCCGAACCAGGACUGACCAGGUCUUCAGACUCUCAUGCCUGCGCCACCGCCCCGCUGCAGUGUCUGCCUUGGCUGCCACCGUUCCUGGGAGACGGAUCCGAUCUCUGCCGCUGGCUUCCAGACUGUCGGCUUCGGGUGGAGUACGGUCCCAGAUGCAGUGUCUGCACAAAGACCCCCCUGACCGACCCCGUCCGCGUGGACCCGCGGCCUGUCAACGCCACAGCAUCUCCCCUGAACCCCGCAAAGUAAUCCCCCAUCGUCUCCUUGAAACGCCUCCUACUCUGCUACCCCUUCAACACGUUUGCCUCUUGUGGCCCCAAGUAGACGCAGCUCCUUGAAGGUCUUUUCCUACCCAGUCUUCCCCCUCUUUUGCACUUGGCACCCCACGGGUCCACAUGUAUUUCCGGAUUUGUUGAUUGACUGAAACAGUUCACUUCCUCUCUUUCAAAAGAAAUAGGACCCCAUGAGGUGCCUGGAUGCCAGGACAAGAGAACUCCAGAGAGGAGGCCACCACACGGAGAGGGGAGAUGUCCUGCUUCACAGUUUGCUUGUGCCCAUCCCGGCCACGAUCCCAGCAAUCAACUGACUGUUUAAUCCAUCUCAGGGAAAGCCAGGUUCGGUAUGAUGGGAAAUGAUCCACUUUCCCCACCAACACUCCCUGCGGCCUGUGGAGGCCACACCGUGACGACGGGAGCUUUGACAAGCCUGGUCUUCCUCCCUGUUGGUGAGGCUCCAUCAGUGAACCGGUCGUGGCCCUUUGAUGCAGCAUUUUC